UACGUAGGGGGCAAGCGUUGUCCGGAUUUAUUGGGCGUAAAGAGCGUGUAGGCGGCCAGAUAGGUCUGUUGUGAAAACUCGAGGCUCAACCUCGAGACGCCGAUGGAAACCAUCUGGCUAGAGUCCGGAAGAGGAGAGUGGAAUUCCUGGUGUAGCGGUGAAAUGCGCAGAUAUCAGGAAGAACACCCGUGGCUAAGGCGGCUCUCUAGUACGGUACUGACGCUGAGACGCGAAAGCGUGGGGAGCGAAACAGG
rnacentral:rRNA from 1 species